CCUGUGCUGUUAUUUUAGUGGGCUAGCCGCUCAAAUCAGGCGAAAUGAGAUUUGGAGGCGGCGGCAUGACGUGCUGAGACAGCGGCGUGUUUGCAGGCGAAGGGCGGGAUGCAGUGGAUUUUCAGCGCAAUUGGAAGUCAGGAGGUCUAGGCGCCGCUGUGACUUUCAGCAAGUGCAACGUGGGACAGUCAGAUGGACGAGGCCUUGAGCUCUGCCAACUAGGGGGGGCACUUCUUCCAGGGCCCCCCCACAGUCUGCCAGCUGUCAGGAGUGGCUCCGCCUGGGCACUGGCCUCCUGUACAUCCCGCUCCUCAUCCCUCGGGGGAGCUUCAAGAAAGUUGUAGAAGGAUAACGCAGGAUUAAACAGCUUCUGUACUGCCACCUUGCAUCUCAGGGCCAUGGAGCUGGAAACUUUCAAAAUGCCUGAAAACAAAGAACAGGAGAAAAUCACCGAACCCCAGCAGAUCCUACCGCAGUGAGAAACCGAGGCUAUUACACUACAACACUGCCCCCUGGUGGAAAUGUAGAAGUGAAACUUUUUUUUCUUGAACAUUUUAAAACAAGUACAGUAUAUAAUACUUCUCCAAUAGCCAGGAAGUUAUGUCUGCGUUAUCUCAAAUGUAUUUAAUUUGAAAUUUUAUUCGGGAAUAUUCUCCGUAUUGCUGUAUAGUUAGAUAUAUAAAACAGUCCCAUGCUUUGAGCCCAAGGAGAGAUGUUAUUGUUUUAAAAUGAAUAAAAUAUAAAUCAAGCUUUGA